UACGUAGGGGGCGAGCGUUGUCCGGAUUCAUUGGGCGUAAAGAGCUCGUAGGCGGUUCGGCAAGUCGGGUGUGAAAACUCCAGGCUCAACCUGGAGACGCCACCCGAUACUGCUGUGACUCGAGUCCGGUAGGGGACCACGGAAUUCCUGGUGUAGCGGUGAAAUGCGCAGAUAUCAGGAGGAACACCGGUGGCGAAGGCGGGUCUCUGGGCCGUAACUGACGCUGAGGAGCGAAAGCGUGGGGAGCGAACAGG
rnacentral:rRNA from 1 species